UAAACAUGAGAAUAUAGACAGUGUGGACUCCUGGGGUGGGGUAAUGAUGGGGGAAUGGGUUUAAAAGUUACUUGUUGGGUACUAUGCUUACUACCUGAGUGCAAUAUACCCUUGUGAUAAACCUGCAUGCACACAUAUCCCCUGUGUGGAAAAUACAAUUUGAAAUUAAAAAAUAAUUUUAUUGCUUUUAUAAAAUUACUCAGAGCAAAAAUAUAAAAGUAGAGUCUAUCACUAAUUUUCACUACUAAGGAAUAACUAUUAUUACUGUUUGAUGUCCUCAAAAUAAAAUAUUUCUCUAUAAAGACUCAAGGAUAGAAAGACAAAUAGAAAUAAUUUUUUAGCCUCCCAAAAGGAUAACAUAUUUGUAAACCAUACGUCUGAUACGUGGCUAUUAUAAAAAAGCAACUCAAUGGCAAGAAAAUGGGUAACCCAAUUAAAAAAAAAGGGCCAAGGACUGGAAUAGACAUUUUUUAAAAGAGAGAAAAAAACCUCCCUUGCAAAUACCAACUCAGUGUUGCACAAGAGAUUGCAAUGCCUCCACAGGGGCUGCAAGCUCAUCAGUGUGCAAAGUACCCAAAUAUUUUACCAAUUUAGAAUGCAUGUUACUAGCUAGAUUAUAACAUCUUUGGUAAGCCAUUAAAUCUAUAGCCUCAAUAUCUGUUCCAAUAUUUUUGAAGUAUACAUUAUCCUUAGUUAACCUAAUAGAGAAUAAAUUAUUUUACUGCACUAAUGCCCUAGAAAAUAGAUGUUCUGUUUGAACUGCCUUAUUGGUUAAUGUAAACCAAAAUGCAAAUCUUUUGACAUUCAAGUUUGCUUUUUUAUACCUAAGUGUAAUUUUCAAAUAAAAAAAGUAAUAAAGACAGAUAAAACUUUCAGUUUCUUAUAUCUUUAAAUACCUAGAAAAAUAUUUAAAAUAACAUUUGAUAAAUUAUAAGUGAAUUGAAACCAAAUAGAUAUUGCUUCCUUCAAAUAAAUCUGGAAUUGAAAUAAAUGUAGGGAAACAUUAAAUGAAGAAAUACAAUGCUCCUGCAAAACUUGAAAUAUUGAAAUACUGGAGCAGUCCCUUCCCUGAAUAAAUAUAGAUGUUGUUCCAGGAGAGUCUC
rnacentral:lncRNA from 1 species